AGACUUUAUUAUUGGCUCAGGACGAACGCUGGCGGCGCGCCUAACACAUGCAAGUCGAACGGAGUCGAGAGGAGCUUGCUUUUCUUGACUUAGUGGCGAACGGGUGAGUAACGCGUGAGUAACCUGCCCUGGAGUGGGGGACAACAGUUGGAAACGACUGCUAAUACCGCAUAAGCCCACGGUGCUGCAUGGCACUGCGGGAAAAGGAUUUAUUCGCUUCAGGAUGGACUCGCGUCCAAUUAGCUAGUUGGUGAGGCAACGGCCCACCAAGGCGACGAUUGGUAGCCGGACUGAGAGGUUGAACGGCCACAUUGGGACUGAGACACGGCCCAGACUCCUACGGGAGGCAGCAGUGGGGGAUAUUGCACAAUGGGGGAAACCCUGAUGCAGCGACGCCGCGUGGAGGAAGAAGGUUUUCGGAUUGUAAACUCCUGUCGUUAGGGACGAUAAUGACGGUACCUAACAAGAAAGCACCGGCUAACUACGUGCCAGCAGCCGCGGUAAAACGUAGGGUGCAAGCGUUGUCCGGAAUUACUGGGUGUAAAGGGAGCGCAGGCGGACCGGCAAGUUGGAAGUGAAAACUAUGGGCUCAACCCAUAAAUUGCUUUCAAAACUGCUGGCCUUGAGUAGUGCAGAGGUAGGUGGAAUUCCCGGUGUAGCGGUGGAAUGCGUAGAUAUCGGGAGGAACACCAGUGGCGAAGGCGACCUACUGGGCACCAACUGACGCUGAGGCUCGAAAGCAUGGGUAGCAAACAGGAUUAGAUACCCUGGUAGUCCAUGCCGUAAACGAUGAUUACUAGGUGUUGGAGGAUUGACCCCUUCAGUGCCGCAGUUAACACAAUAAGUAAUCCACCUGGGGAGUACGACCGCAAGGUUGCAACUCAAAUGAAUUGACGGA
rnacentral:rRNA from 1 species